rnacentral:rRNA from 1 species
AUGGCUCAGGAUGAACGCUAGCGACAGGCCUAACACAUGCAAGUCGAGCGGCAGCACCUCGGGUGGCGAGCGGCGCACGGGUGAGUAACGCGUAUGUAACCUGCCCAUGAGUGGGGGAUAGCCCGGUGAAAACCGGAUUAAUACCGCAUAAUACCAUUAUUAGACAUCUUAGAAUGGUUAAAGAUUCAUUGCUCAUGGAUGGACAUGCGUUGGAUUAGCUAGUCGGCGGGGCAACGGCCCACCGAGGCUACGAUCCAUAGGGGUUCUGAGAGGAAGGUCCCCCACAUUGGUACUGAGACACGGACCAAACUCCUACGGGAGGCAGCAGUGAGGAAUAUUGGUCAAUGGGCGGAAGCCUGAACCAGCCAAGUCGCGUGAAGGAUGAAGGUAUUAUGUAUUGUAAACUUCUUUAGCUGUGGAGAAAUAAGGUGGUCGAGACCACCGAUGCUAGUACACAGAGAAUAAGGAUCGGCUAACUCCGUGCCAGCAGCCGC